GCCAUGAGUCACCAUAGCACAUCCUUAGGAAGUAGCUGGCCGGUCUCCCAAAAACAGCCAUAUCCCCUGAUGAACUGAAGACCUGGUUCACUUUGCCCUGUGUCCUGGAGUCUGCUGGCUGCCCUUUGUUAGAAGUGGAGGAAGCAGGGCUUGGCAUCUGUAAGAGACCAGACAUCCAGCUUAGGGUUAGUGUCUCAGAGUGCUCAGCCCACACAAGGCAGCCAUUGUGUGAUGACCUUGAGAUAGUCACUGAGUGAGCCCUUGAAGGUGAUCGGGUCUUCUCCGUUCUUACCGGCAUGAAGAAAAUAAGACAUCCCUGGGGAGAGGUAUGUCGUCGAUUCUGCCACUUCAGGAGUCCAGUCCUGUGUUUGUGCUCAUCAGGCUACACGCUGCGUGUAGCGGCACAAGGAUGAUGUUCACACAGAGUGACGGGGCACUGAGCAGAAACUCCCGUGGAACGGCAUAGGUGGGCGUCGCUGUGACGGGAGGAGUCCCGCAGUGAGCAGAUGGAUGGGGCGGGAUGCAGAGCUUGUUUGAGUGACAGAGGAGCUUUGGAGAACAUGGAACAGAUACGCAUUAUUGGAACGAACAGUAGAUGGCCUCGGAGUGGGUAAGAGUCUCAAGAUGAACGUUGAAAACUCCCUCCUACAGUAGAAGGACAAAUGGGUCCAAAUAUUAGUGGACAAAAGUACUUUCCAGACUCCGAGCGAGGCCACGAGGAAAUGGUCUGAGUGGAUGAUGCUGGGGGAUGGGAGAAACACUUUCAAGAUUCUUGAUUUACUUCAUUUACCCAAGCACCCGUGAGGCAGGUAUUGCUUUCGUUUAACAGGGGAGUUUGC